GACGUAGGGUGCGAGCGUUGUCCGGAUUUAUUGGGCGUAAAGAGCUCGUAGGCGGCUUGUUGCGUCGGCUGUGAAAACCCGCAGCUCAACUGUGGGCUUGCAGCCGAUACGGGCAGGCUUGAGUUCGGUAGGGGAGACUGGAAUUACAGGUGUAGCGGUGAAAUGCGUAGAUAUCUGUAGGAACACCAGUGGCGAAGGCGGUCUCUUGGGGCAUUCUUGACGCUGAGGCGCGAAAGCUGGGGGAGCGAACGGG
rnacentral:rRNA from 1 species